CCUUGGCCUCCCAAAGUGCUGGGAUUACAGGUGUAAGCCACAACUCCCCGCCGAAAUAUCCUCUUUAUUUACAUAGGGCAUACAAUGCCUUUGUAACUUUUAACCUAUUCAUUUACAUAAGGCAUACACCAACUAACCAAUGGAAACCUCUAGAGGGUAUUUAACCCCCAGAAAAUUCUAUAACAGCGCUCGUGAGCCCCCAUGCUCAGCCUGCUCCCACCCUGUGAAAUGUACUUUCGUUUUCAAUAAAUCUCUGCUUUUGUUACUUCAUUAUUCCCUUGCUUUGUUUGUGCCGUUUUGUCCAAUUAUUUGUUCAAGACACCAAGAACCUGAACACCCUCCACUGGUAACAGUUUGAGACAAGUAUCAGAAUCAGUUCCACCUGUACCAAGUUCUAACGGCACUUCUAGCUGUAUAGCCUGGGCAGGUCAACCACCUUUUAUCCACCAUGCUCUCCGUAUUCCCCUCGUAAAAUGAUAACGACACCCUUGCAGCUUGGCUCAGCGAAUGUCCUCAAACGCACAAACAACGCUAGGGCUAAAUGAGCACACCCGGUAGAGCAGCAGCCGCUCCUCGAGGGCGGAAGUCACAGCCUGAUCUAAGUACGGUGGGUAAAAUGGAUCCCCCAUAUGCGCAGCGCCAUGGUCCUUUGUAACCUCAUAAAGUGUCCGAUGAGCAGCAGGGGCUGGAGGAUAAUUUAGGGCCAAUAUCAUUUGUUUCUUUUACAUUAUUUCGCCAUUUCUCAGAAUUCUAAAAUUUGUUUAAUUGAAAUAUCAGCUUGAGGGAUGCUGAAAACUGUACAGAGUAAAAGAAGAAUCUCUGCUGAGGGAUAACCAAGAGGUUUCGCCCUUCCCCAUCAGCCUGUGAAGCUCCCAAAAACGUCCGGCCAACGGCACCAGUCCCAUCUAAUCAGCCAGGAGGAAGUAGGCGCCGCAAAGCCCCCUGCGAAAUGUAGUUUCCAGGAAGACUUCUGGGAAACAGAGUCCGAGGCAGGCGACAGAGCGCUCUUGCAGCCAAAUAGAGCCGGGCUAGGGGCGCGUCACGUGACCUGUGCAGCCAACUGUUCCGAGACGUGGCCUUUGCCUGAGCUGCUGUUAGGAGAGGUGCUCAGGUCUGGGGAGUAGCUCCUACCAUCGCCUGGACUCGACUUCUGGACUGGCCUCCAAAAGUCGACACAGCCCCUGCGUCUUUCCUAUUCCCCAAACCGGCGCUGACCUCAUAUUUGCAUACACUGAAACUUGUGGCUCUCCUUGACUUGGGUUGGUAGGCUCUAUAGGACCUCACCAUGUUCUCUUACCCAUGGUUUCUGCAGCAGCCAAAAUGAUCCAUUCCAUGUGCUUUAGAGCCUUAGGGAAUAAACCAUUAAUCAAGUCA